GGUGGUGGCUCAGUGGUAGAGCGCUCGCCAAGCAUGUGUGAGGCACUGGGUUCAAUCCUCAGCACCA
rnacentral:tRNA from 1 species